rnacentral:rRNA from 1 species
AGCGGCGGACGGGUGAGUAACACGUGGGUAACCUGCCCAAGAGACUGGGAUAACACCUGGAAACAGAUGCUAAUACCGGAUAACAACACUAGACGCAUGUCUAGAGUUUGAAAGAUGGUUCUGCUAUCACUCUUGGAUGGACCUGCGGUGCAUUAGCUAGUUGGUAAGGUAACGGCUUACCAAGGCAAUGAUGCAUAGCCGAGUUGAGAGACUGAUCGGCCACAUUGGGACUGAGACACAGCCCAAACACCUACGGGAGGCAGCAGUAGGGAAUCUUCCACAAUGGACGAAAGUCUGAUGGAGCAACGCCGCGUGAGUGAAGAAGGGUUUCGGCUCGUAAAGCUCUGUUGGUAGUGAAGAAAGAUAGAGGUAGUAACUGGCCUUUAUUUGACGGUAAUUACUUAGAAAGUCACGGCUAACUACGUGCCAGCAGCCGCGGUAAUACGUAGGUGGCAAGCGUUGUCCGGAUUUAUUGGGCGUAAAGCGAGUGCAGGCGGUUCAAUAAGUCUGAUGUGAGAGCCUUCGGCUCAACCGGAGAAUUGCAUCAGAAACUGUUGAACUUGAGUGCAGAAGAGGAGAGUGGAACUCCAUGUGUAGCGGUGGAGUGCGUAGAUAUAUGGAAGAACACCAGUGGCGAAGGCGGCUCUCUGGUCUGCAACUGACGCUGAGGCUCGAAAGCAUGGGUAGCGAACAGGAUUAGAUACCCUGGUAGUCCAUGCCGUAAACGAUGAGUGCUAAGUGU